rnacentral:rRNA from 1 species
GUGCACUUUUCCAGUUCAGGCCAGCAUCAGUUUUCGCCGGGGGAUAAAGGCAGCGGGAAUGUGGCUCUCUUCGGGGAGUGUUAUAGCCCGUUGUGUAAUACCCUGGUGGGGACUGAGGUUCGCGCUUCUGCAAGGAUGCUGGCGUAAUGGUCAUCAACGA